rnacentral:misc_RNA from 1 species
AAGUCGUAACAAGGUAACCGUAGGUGAACCUGCGGUUGGAUCAUUAAAAAGAUCUAGCCCGAUUUUGCACCUGGCCUUGAGCUGGUGGAAUGACAGGCUUUUCUCACGUACGUGAGUCAACAUCAUGUGAACUGUUUUGUCUCUGGCGGUGGGAUGGCUCAAAACCGUCUGUCAGCAUCCGAGGUAAUCUCGGUGUGCCGUGGACAAGCCGCCAACGGUGUAUGCUUCAUACAAAACUUUUUGUUUCAUUAAAACUGUCUGACCUACUUUUGUAUCUAAAUAAUACAAAAACAACUUUUGGCAACGGAUCUCUUGGCUCCC